rnacentral:rRNA from 1 species
CCUACGGGGGGCUGCAGUGGGGAAUAUUGGACAAUGGGGGGAACCCUGAUCCAGCCAUGCCGCGUGUGUGAAGAAGGCCCUCGGGUUGUAAAGCACUUUCAGUGAGGAAGAACGCCUGGUGGUUAAUACCCAUCAGGAAAGACAUCACUCACAGAAGAAGCACCGGCUAACUCCGUGCCAGCAGCCGCGGUAAUACGGAGGGUGCGAGCGUUAAUCGGAAUUACUGGGCGUAAAGCGCGCGUAGGUGGCUUGAUAAGCCGGUUGUGAAAGCCCCGGGCUCAACCUGGGAACGGCAUCCGGAACUGUCAAGCUAGAGUGCAGGAGAGGAAGGUAGAAUUCCCGGUGUAGCGGUGAAAUGCGUGGAGAUCGGGAGGAAUACCAGUGGCGAAGGCGGCCUUCUGGACUGACACUGACACUGAGGUGCGAAAGCGUGGGUAGCAAACAGGAUUAGAUACCCUUGUAGUC